rnacentral:rRNA from 1 species
UACGGAGGGGGCGAGCGUUAUUCGGAAUUAUUGGGCGUAAAGGGCGCGUAGGCGGCCCGGUAAGUCCAAGGUGAAAUCCCUCGGCUCAACUGAGGAACUGCCUUUGAAACUGUCGGGCUUGAGGCCGGGAGGGGGUAGCGGAAUUCCCAGUGUAGCGGUGAAAUGCGUAGAUAUUGGGAGGAACACCGGUGGCGAAGGCGGCUACCUGGACCGGUUCUGACGCUGAUGCGCGAAAGCGUGGGUAGCAAACAGG